AUACAACAUGUUCUCUGUAGCUGUCCUGCUGCUGCUGGUUUCUGGAUGCUAUGUGAAGUGUGAGCAGCUGGCACAGCCGGCCUCUGUGACUGUGCAGCCAGGUCAAAGUCUGACCAUCACCUGUCAGGUCUCUUAUUCCAUGAGCACCUGGAGGACUCACUGGGUCAGAGAGCCUGUGGGUAAAGGACUGGAGUGGAUUGGCUCAGCACAUGGUGGACACAGCACAUACUACAAGGAUUCACUAAAGAACAAGUUCACCGUCAGCUUAGACACGUCCAGGAACAGAGUGACUCUAAAUGGGCAGAAUGUGCAGCCUGAAGACUCUGCUGUGUAUUACUGUGCCAGACAGCCACAGUAA